UAUUAGUUCUGUAGUAUAAACUGGUGGAAAUGGAACCCCCUUUCCAGCGACCUCCACUGACAUUCGGUUCAGAUGAUGGCUGCCACUGACAUCGCUGCUCCGCUGACGUUAAGCCCCAUCGAGGAAGCAUGUCUGGGAAAGUUUUCGCUUAAUUGCGCGGGAAAGCCGAACAAACAAGUCCUUGCUCGGUUGGUAUUUAAAGGACAGCACCUGCAGUUGAAGCCCCAAAAACACACUCUUCACCUUUAACAACAACAGACAUAUUUUGCUAUAAACGAUACACCGAGAGAAAAACAUCAAUAUGAAAGGAUAUUUUCUUAACUGCCUCGUUGGAUUUAUGGAUUCCUAGAGCAUUUCUGUGUUGAUCUUUGUUUAUAUGUAGGUCACGCCCCCACAAAAAUAAUUCGGUGGUGGAGCAAAUCGGGCGGAAUAAUUUUGCAAGUCACAAAUUAGCAUAUUCGACUGCUGACGCCUUUUUGGAUAGACAGGCGGAUAGGCGGUGAUUCUGAAGGCUCUCGACUUGGGGACUUCUCUUUUUCUCUACUUUUGCUGGCAAGCGGAUUGCGGCGAUCCCAGAACUAAACGAAUUGUGUAUGUAUUAAUUUGCGUCACUCAAACGUCAGCAACAAGCUCAAAAGGUGACAAAAGCCAGGAUGAAAGAGGGUAGGAGCUGGAUUAGGGGGCACAAGGAUGGCCGCCAGGAGAGCCAAUGAGGCUCAAUUUGGAGAAUGGAUUUCGGGCAGGACACUUUCUAAUUAGUUUCGCAGGCGAUGGUCGCUGGCAACGCAAUCACACACCCACAUCCGAAAAAAGGACACCAUAACUAGUGGAAUAAUAGCGAAAAAUAAUGUUGCACACACGCACACACAUACGCUCGCAAACAAACCAAUACAUGCAUACAUAUAUACGUGUGCAUAAACAAGGAUUCCCCCACUGCGUAUACGUAAUGUCCUACCGUGUUAUCCUUAACGAAGCGUUGUGAGGCAUUUGUUGCUGAUCCUGCUGCUGCUCGAUGUUGUGCUGCGGCGCUUUAUUUGUAUGGAAGGCACUGUAAUUUACAGUUAGAUCGUUGCUGCGCCGCCUUUUCAAUAUAUUUAAUUUAGCAAAUAUGUAUUUCGUGUGCAGAAUGACUCGUCGUACACUUGUAAAAACGCUUUAAAAACUCCUCGAACUAUUUUGUUGAUAUUGUCAAAUGUGCGCGCGUGUGUGUGUGUGUGUGUGUGCGAGUGUGCGGUCGGUGUUUGUAUGUAUGAGUGUCGGGUGGGGUGGGGGCGAAAAAAAGGUAAAAUGAAACUCAAGGCGCGACGUGCAGGGACUGUUCCUCAGCGGCGCACAUUACUCGACAGGACCACGGCGGAAGACUGUGUCAGGGAAAAAUCCGCCGGAGCUCCGGCCGCAAAGUCGCACUCCGAAGUCAAGAGUCCUCGCGUGCGAGAGAGCAGAGAGACUCGGCGAGAGAGUGAGAGAGAGAGCUUUGCGCCAGAGCUUUCCGCACUCUGACUUUCGCUUUCAGUCGGCAGGACAUCAGGACUGAGGACUCAAGGCUGGGACUGGGACUGGGCCUGGGAACUCAGUCGGCACAGGUCAGAAAUCGGGGGAUACCGUCAAACAUCCCUUGGCGGACUGACCUACAGCUACCCCAGUGCGGCUAAUCCUUGAUUCCAAUUUGUUCUUAGAAUCGCCGCUCUACAGUCAGACCUCCUUAAAGUUUCCUGUUCGAUAUUAAAUAUGUGUACCAGCUAUAAGUAGCUGUAAUGUUUACCAUUCAGUGAAAAGCCAAUGAUAAACGAGUGCAGUCUAAAUACUAACAUUCUCUUUAUUUAAAUAUUCCUUUGUAUAAGAUUAAAAUGCAUGAUGUACUAGUUAAUAGUUGCAACUGGUAUUGGAUUUUUCCAUGGUAUACUUUUUAUAUGUAACCUAUGCGCUUAGUUGGUUAAUUUACGUGUUUUGUAGUUUUGUGGUUGCUUUUGCUCACUCUGUUCGAAAUGAAUGCAGAAUACUGUAACUUGUUACGUGUACAUUACAAA